UGGCAUGUCCUCAUCUCUUUAGGGAUGCUUC
rnacentral:piRNA from 1 species